UGGGAUAGAGAAAGAAACAGUCUUGUUCUGUCUCAGAUGCUUAUAAGCAUUCCAGACUUUAUAUAUAAAACAGCACUUUGCAAUUCACCUGGAAACUCACUGAUAUAGAUCCAAGAUGAGAAACACAAUGUACUCGCAGCAGAAAACACUGCUAGGUCUUGAAACAAACUUCUGCAGAAGAGAUUGAGCCUGAAUCCUCAAAUGUGCUGCGUGCUCGUUUAUGCUAGCCUUUCACCAACCAAUGAUGGAAGGAAAACAACACUGGAAGAAGUUGUCCAUUCAGUUGGCUAUCGGAGUAGCCACAUGCAGAUGCUGGGCCACUGUGGCAUAGACUGGAGAAUGAGAAAAGACAAGAAGCUACCUUUCAAGAACAAGAGCUUCAGGAUCUGGUCUCAAGUCACCAUUUAACAAAAGCCCAAAGUUUAAUGAGAUAACUGACCUAAGCAGAGAUCCAGAGCCAUGAGAAGAUGAAGUGCAGCCAAGUCUUUUGAAGGCAAUAAGAACAGUGUGGUUACUACUUUCCUGUAAGGCCUCGAAGGAUCAAGACCAAAAGUCUCCAACUUGCUAUAGCAUGUGAGAAAAAGCUGUCUGUGUUGCAAUACUCAACGCCUCUACAGUUCAGAAACAUACGCAAAGCCACGAUGAACCUCCUGAGCACUGGGACAAUGCAAUGGCAUCAGAUAAGACAAGAGUCUCCAGGAGAAACUGAAAAGAUAACCAUACUUCAAAUGUGCUUUCCUAUGUGUUGGGGACAGAAGGUCUCUCAUCCGUGAGUAGGACACUGAAAUCCUCCAGUAAGAGCUGUCACAUGUUCACCACUAGAAGACCCUCAAAACCUCAACAUCUCCUGUGAAACUGUAGACUGUGGCAGAAUCCCUCAGAGAGCCGAUGCCUGCACUGAGCUCAGCACUUCUGUUCCAGCUGAGAAAGCUGAAGCCGAAAAGAUGUGGGAGGAGAUUUACUGACACAGAUAUUGAACCCAGUGAAAUAUUGAGGAAAUGAGACCGGGUUAGAUGAACAAGGACUUGAGGUCCGCUGCAAAUGCAUCAAAGAAGGUUACAUGGAAGAACAAGUACCAAGCAUGCGAAGCAGGGUUUCAAAAACCAGGUGCCUGUAACACAAAACUGGCUUAGACUUGUUCUGAAUCAAGGAGAGGAAAAUGGAGUGACUGGAACUCUACAUGGAGCUGGUAGACUUGCCAAAUUGAGUGACAGACUGCACGUUUGAAUACGGCCAUUGAUAUCCCAUUUCAGCAUUUCUCAGUGUAUGAAGAAACCUUUGAUAUUUUCUUUCGGUUUUGCAUCCCACAAACCUAAACUAGAUCUGCACCCCCUUCACACAUCCCACCCUGCUGCAGCUGUUCCUGUGUCUGAACAGCCUUUUCAUAUCUCUCUACAAAACUCCUUUCUGAGAUGCCUUUCUCACUGUGAGCCGCAAAUCUCUCCCUGCAGCAUCCUUGACUACUUAUUAAGCUCUGAGAAGGUGUUCAAUAACACAAAGGUAUCGGCUGAAGACACUGCCUGCUCUGAAGAACUUAAUCGGAAAUGUACAAGAGAGAAGGACAUAGUGCUGUGACACUGAGGGAAAAGAUUGGCUUUGAUAUACUAGUGUAUGUAUGCUUGUACAUUUAGUAUGAUUUUAUUUGCUGUCUGCAAGCUCUCCUCUUUAUUUUUAAUACUGCCCUCAGUGGCAGGCAUACAGCUGUCUACAUCAGUUCAUGCAGAAGUCAGAUUUUUAAUAAAAAAAAAUCUAUAUUUUUAUCAUGACUGGACUUGAUGGAUGGGAGACUUGUGCACGUAUGCACACAAAGGAGACUUUGUUUAUGGAGAGAACAAGCAAGUUCUUAAAAAAAAUUACUUAAAAACCCCCUCCAAAUGUACUUGUUUUCAGUAGAUGUUUACGUUUACCGCUGUUUUUUCGGUAUCCUUGUGACUGACAAUUUGCUUUUCAACCUGAUAUAUAAUUUGUUUUUUAAUUGGAGGGGAAAAAAAAACCCAGCAGCAAAAUUGACUUGUUCAGUUUCAGGCAGCGUGGCUUCAGCCUUAAUAUUUAAAUGUGUGUAUUAGAGUGUGCAUACGCUACUAGCCAGCCCUCUGCUUCCAGGUCCUCUUCCCAGAGUAUAAAGUCCUCAUGUGAGUCCUCAGGCAUUCUUUUUUUCGCGAGCUCUCUUUCUGCAUUUGUGCAAGAAAAAUGUAAAAUGGCUAAUAAAAGAAAUUGGGAGCUCUUUGUGGAAUCUGUAAGCUUCUGAUAAUACAGUAAGGAACGCUGCCUGCACAGCAAACAUAUAUAUUACAACAGCCAGUGAGAAAAAUAAAUUUGAGAGAGAUGUGAGGAUAUGCAUCCUCGAAGCACAUGGGUACAAUAGAAAUAUAAGGGCACUUCUUCAUACUGAGCUUCAGGGGAUGCUUAGCAGGUAGAAUCAGGCUCCUCAUGCAGUAACAACUGCGAAGGAGCCAGCCAAGCUUAGGUAAUGAAAUAUUCUCUUUCAGGUUAGCAGUGGACUCUCCUAAUGCUUUUCCUUCCUCACUGAGUAAAGCGUUCAAGCCAGCACUUGCAAAAUGCAGCUGCAACUUCUCACUGUCUGACUCUGAUGAGCACAAAUGAGAGCUUUUGCACCUCUAUAGUUAGGAGGCUGCACGUGAAAAAGCCACCUAUACGAGAGGGCUAUGCCUACCAUACGAUAACAUUAUUUUCCCUUCUAAAUAACCUAGUGGUGACUGAGACAGCUGAAUAAUUUUGCCUUGGGACAGAGGUACGAAAGUGCAGUGGGAGAAUUGUUUCCAGGGCUUUGGAUUCUCUGACUCUUGUACUGAUGCUUUGGACAGACAGGAGACCUUACAGGCAUUCAUGGCUGCUAAUUAUUCCGCAGUUCUCUUUGGAGAUUUCAUCUUGAGAGCCUGCAGCAUCAGAAUACCUAAUGCCCUGGUCAAGCUAUUUAACCAAACAAGACGUCUUACAAAGAGCUAUAAACUUGGGGAGCUUGACUGGGCCACUUGUGCAAAGGCAGAGAGUUGUCAAGGUGGCACAUCACUGCUGUUUGCUCAUCACCACAUGUGCAAAACCAACUCUGACCCAAAAUCACUUUCAUUUCUUUCGUGUUUUCCUUUCCCUGCGCUCGCCUAUGGUGUGAGCUGGAGACAAAGUUGCUGUAAGAACAGACAAGUGUUAGCUCUUGUGCAUUUCUGAUUUUUUUUUUAGAUUAAUUUCUUUUGGAUAGCAAAUAGUAUUGAUUAGGUUUACUUUCAUAUAUAAAUUAAGUAUUGGUGGAGAUUUUGAUUCUUAGUGUGACUCUUGAUUGCAUGGCUAUCGCAAGCCUAGCAUUUCUAACAGUGUACAGGAGCUGAACGAACAUGCAUUGCAAAUAAUGUAUUCAUUGAUUGUUGCUCAUCUUUCUGUUUGCAAAUUAACAACAUGCAGAUGAAUUCAAGUGCAUUUUGUUUGCUAUUUGAAAUUGUUCAAGCACUUUAUUCGAAUGUAUUUCCCCUUCAAAUGAAUACAUAAUGAAAAAGCUUGUCAGAAACCCUAAGUAUUUUCUAAGUGUGAUGUGUGGUUGGUUACCUGUGCCAUGUGAUGUUUUUUUCUGUUUUAUGGUUUUGUGGUUGCAACUUUUCCAAGCAAAAUGAGGGAAAUCAGCAAUUUCAGUGUGGCCAUAGGAACAGUUUUUAAUCCAAGUCCUCACACUAACACAUGAACUGUGACAGAGCAAUGAAGGAAAUGGUUUGCACAAUUUGUCAAGGAAUCACUGAGAGCUGGACACUCUAACAGAUGAUCUUUUCCUCUAGAGUUAUAUUCUUCUAGAGACUUUAUUCUUUAAAACUUGGUGCAAAGUCUUCUGAGGUGGUCAUGGAGACAUUGUUCUCCAUGUGUGAAGGAGUUUGUGUGUGUAUGUGUGUGCUCCUCUAUAUAAAGGA